GAGGCCGACAACCAGGAUGCAGGAGACAGACUGUGUAUUGUGUUACAGACUGCCGUUCCCCAAGGCCUUCCACACCUAAGUGCCUCAAGAGGAUGGCGAUAAAGAACACGGAAAAUCAAGAAGCUAAGACUCAAAGUUGGCCGCCACCUCCUUUGAUUCACUCCCAACUUCAGUGACCAAAGCAGAAAAUCCUAAGGCACAAGACGGCAAAGAGGCAGAAAGCAGCCAACCCACCAGCUAAGAGUGUGUCUGUUCCAAAGGCCGAGUACAUGGCAGCUGACCGUUUCUGCUAUGAUCCAGCUUAGUCACCCGCCCAGAAGAAACGAACAUUGAAGUCAAGGAAUAAGAAAGGAACAGAAGAUUAGAGCUGAGGAUUCCAGUCAUGUCGACCUUUGCUUCUAUCAUGAUUAGCAUAAGGAUCGUGCUGUGCAGGCCAGGCUGACCUCAAGCUUGCCGUCCUUUGGCUUCCAAUUCCUAAAUACUGGGAUUCCAGACUCAUGUCACCAUGGCUGUCCCCUUUGACACUUUGAACAGCAUCUCUGCACAGCACAGGAUAAGCAAAAGCACACAUUUCUGUUGAAAUAACCAGUCAUCUUGGCUGUGCUAAGUUGAGAAGAUCCAUCCUUACCUAGGGCAGCGUAACUUCUUGCAGUGGGAAGUCAGAACCAGGUUGUGGCAUUCCGAGGACGUUUAUCAGCACAGCAGCACCGAGGACAGAGCUGUUGGUUUGUUCUUUGCUGCAUUUUUCUACAUUUCUCCGAGAAUCAAAUACAGAAUCAGUGUUUGCCUCUCUGAUUUCCGUUGCUAUCUGGCAAGAUGCUAUUUAUAUUAGA